GACGAACGCUGGCGGCGUGCUUAACACAUGCAAGUCGAACGGUGAAGCGCCUUCCUUUUUGGUGGGUGUGGAUGAGUGGCGAACGGGUGAGUAACACGUGAGUAACCUGCCCCCUUCUUCUGGAUAACCGCAUGAAAGUGUGGCUAAUACGGGAUAUUCUGGGUCUGUCGCAUGAUGGGUCUGGGAAAGAUAUUGUUUCGGUGGGGGAUGGGCUCGCGGCCUAUCAGCUUGUUGGUGGGGUGAUGGCCUACCAAGGCGGCGACGGGUAGCCGGCCUGAGAGGGUGGACGGUCACACUGGGACUGAGACACGGCCCAGACUCCUACGGGAGGCAGCAGUGGGGAAUAUUGCACAAUGGGCGCAAGCCUGAUGCAGCGACGCCGCGUGAGGGAUGGAGGCCUUCGGGUUGUGAACCUCUUUCGCCAGUGAAGCAGGCCUGCCUCGUUUGUGGGUGGGUUGACAGUAGCUGGAUAAGAAGCGCCGGCUAACUACGUG
rnacentral:rRNA from 1 species